UACGUAGGGGGCGAGCGUUGUCCGGAUUUAUUGGGCGUAAAGAGCGUGUAGGCGGCCAGGUAGGUCUGCUGUGAAAGCUCGAGGCUCAACCUCGAGACGUCGGCGGAAACCAUCUGGCUAGAGUCCGGAAGAGGAGAGUGGAAUUCCUGGUGUAGCGGUGAAAUGCGCAGAUAUCAGGAAGAACACCAAUGGCGAAAGCAGCUCUCUGGGACGGUACUGACGCUGAGACGCGAAAGCGUGGGGAGCGAACAGG
rnacentral:rRNA from 1 species